AUGAGGACGCCGCCGGAGAUGCCGCUGGGUCUCCCCUUCACCGUCGACACAUGGGGCCCAUCCCGCCGCCACCGGUGCCACCGCUUCAUCACCCACGCGCACACGGACCACAUUGCCGGUGCCUGGGCCGGCCCCGGCGACACCGUCUACGCCACGCAGCUCACCAUGCGCCUCGCCCUCGAACGCUAUCCCCAGCUGGAGCGGGUUAAGUUUGUGGAAAUGGAGGUGGGAAAGAGGUGGGUGGUGGACGACCCUGACGGCGCCUUUUCCGUCACCGCCUACGAUGCCAAUCACUGUGCUGAUGUACAACAAUUAUUUUUUGGAAAGAGGUGCAAAAUACUCCAGAAAUUGCUACUGAAAUUGGAAGCAAAUCUUUGCCGGUUGGACACUGUGUACCUGGACUUGACAUUUCCCAAAUUCCUCGAGUUUCCGAGCAAGGAGUCUGCGAUUCAGCAGGUUAUAGCUUGCAUAUCAAAGCAUUCGCGUGCACCUUUCAUUUAUCUUGGAUGUCAAAGACUUGGCCAAGAAGAUAUCUUAAAAGAGGUGUCAAGGUCAUUUAGAUCGAAAAUCUAUGUUGAUAAGGGACUGUACUUGGAUUGUUUUAACACAUUGUCCCACACUGUCCCUGAAAUAAUCACUGAUGAUCCAACUGGUCGCUUCCAGGUACUGCCAGUUCGAUCCGAGGAGCUAAAUAAGAUAGCAGCCGAGAAGCUCGAAGAGGCAAGGGCUAGCGAUCAGCCAGAACCUUUAUUUAUUCGUCCUUCAGCAUGGCGGUAUUCCAAUGCCUAUGCUCAAAACCGGAAACCCAGCCUAACAGAAGCUGAGCAGGAUGGUAAUGUAUGGCGUGUUUGUUUCUCCAAUCACUCCUCUAGUAAUGAAUUAGAGCAGGCACUGCAACUUCUACAGCCUCAGUGGGUCAUUUCAACCACUCCCCCAAAUUUUGCGAGUGAACUGAGUUAUGUAAGGAGACGCUAUUUAUCGCACACCACACAGGGACAUGCGCAAUCAAGCAUCUGUUUCCGCACAACAUCCAGAGGGAAGGAAGACUAUGAAUAUUUUAUUCGAGGAAUACCGUCCCGAGGGCAGAGAAGCCCUAGAGUUGUGCAGAUAGAAGAAACAUGGGUGGACCAUAGGACAUUUGGACUAUCAAUGGGUGUGAACGGUUAUACUAUAUCAAAACAUGUUAUCAACAUGAUGGGCAAAGCUAUCAUUUCAGAACAGCGUGAUGCACAUUUCUUGAAGCAUGUGUUGCAUUCCGAGCUUGGAAAAAUGCUUCAAGGCCCCUCCCCAUGCCGAGAAAGCAUUUCAAACUACCUAUCUGAGCCCAACCAGGGAUUCAAACUCGAAAACAUGGAUGCAGUUCUUGUACCAUUGCUAAAUUCCAAGACUUGGUACCUAGUUGUAGCAAAUUUUUGGAAGAGACGGUUCGAGGCAUUAGAUUUAUAUGAUGGAGAGAAACAUAUCUUCUUUAACGAUAUGAUGUUGCGGGAGGACUACUACAACAUCAAUAAUGUUGCAGAUUUUUUUACUGAAAAAGAUGACGUGUUUGUGGCCGUUGUUGCGGAAAAGAAUAAAAGAGCACCACCGACGGAGCAACGGCGGAGGCUAGAGGGGAGGCCAGAGCGGAGCUCAGGCAUGCCCCUCGAGCGGCGGUCAUGGCAGCGAGGCGACUGCGACGCUUGCAAGGCCAUGGCAUGCGGGGGUCGGGCUGCAGAAGCUGGCCCCUCUCACACCAGCGGCGCCGCGGACAGAUAUUGGCGAUUGUUCCACGGCAAGCUUGAGGUGGUCGGAGUACCACAGGAAGGUGGCAGACUCGGCGGGAGAUCGGGAGGAGCACGAGCAGUGAUUUCUCUGAAGGAUCCAGAUCCUGCAACAAAGCCCUUGUUGCGAUGA
rnacentral:rRNA from 1 species